rnacentral:rRNA from 1 species
UACGUAGGGUGCGAGCGUUGUCCGGAAUUAUUGGGCGUAAAGAGCUCGUAGGCGGCUUGUCGCGUCGUCCGUGAAAACCUGCGGCUCAACUGCAGGCUGGCGGUCGAUACGGGCAGGCUGGAGUUCGGUAGGGGAGACUGGAAUUCCUGGUGUAGCGGUGAAAUGCGUAGAUAUCGUCUGGAAUGCCUGUGGUGAAGACGGGUGACUGGGCUGGUUCUGACACUGAGGCACGAAAGCGUGGGGAGCGAACGGG